rnacentral:sRNA from 1 species
UUUAUUGGAGUAGGUGUGGCCUUAUUGGAAGAAGUGUGUCACUUGGAGCCAGGCAUUGAAUUCUCAUAAGUGCUCAAGCUACAUCCAGUGACCCAAUGUUCCUUCUGCUGACUUGGAUCAAGUUGUAGGGCUCCUCCAGCACCAUGUCUGCCUGCACGCUGCCAUGUUUCCCACCGUGAUGAUAAUGGACUAAACCUUUGAAACUGAGGACAGAACAUCUGCUUCUUCUGGAGGAUGUAGAUGGCUGC